UACGUAGGGUGCAAGCGUUAAUCGGAAUUACUGGGCGUAAAGCGUGCGCAGGCGGCUUUGCAAGACAGAUGUGAAAUCCCCCGGGCUUAACCUGGGAACUGCAUUUGUGACUGCAUGGCUGGAGUGCGGCAGAGGGGGAUGGAAUUCCGCGUGUAGCAGUGAAAUGCGUAGAUAUGCGGAGGAACACCGAUGGCGAAGGCAAUCCCCUGGGCCUGCACUGACGCUCAUGCACGAAAGCGUGGGGAGCGAAACAAGGAUUGAGAA
rnacentral:rRNA from 1 species